rnacentral:rRNA from 1 species
AGAGUUUGAUCAUGGCUCAGAACGAACGCUGGCGGCGUGGCUAAGACAUGCAAGUCAAACGGACUGUGUUAUUUAUAAUACAGUCAGUGGCGAAAGGGUGCGGAAUGAAUAGGUAAUGUACCCCGAACUUCGGGAUAGCGUCAGGAAACUUCGGUUUCCAUCCGAAAGGGGCGGUAAUACCGGAUAAUAUCAUAUAUCGUAAGUUAUAUGAUCAAAGAUUUAUCGGUUUGGGAGCAGCCUAUUUCCUAUCAGCUUGUUGGUGAGGUAAUGGCUCACCAAGGCAGCGACGGGUAGCGGGACUGAGAGGUUGACCCGCCACAUCGGGACUGAGACACUGCCCGGACCUCCACGGAGGGCUGCAGUAACGGAUAUUGCGCAAUGGACGAAAGUCUGACGCAGCGACGCCGCGUGUAGGAUGAAGCCCUCCGGGGUGUAAACUACUGUCAGGGACUAGAAAGUAUGCUUCGGCAUAUUGAUCAAUCCCAGAGGAAGUCACGGCUAACUUCGUGCCAGCAGCCGCGGUAAUACGAAGGUGGCAAGCGUUGUUCGGAAUCACUGGGCUUAAAGCGCACGCAGGCGGAAAAGAAAGUGUGGAGUGAAAUCCCCCGGCUUAACCGGGGAGCUGCUUUGCAAACUUCUUUUCUUGAGGCAAGUAGGGGUACAUGGAACUCUUGGUGGAGCGGUGGAAUGCGUAGAUAUCAAGAGGAACGCCGAUGGUGAAGACAGUGUACUGGGCUUGUCCUGACGCUGAGGUGCGAAAGCGUGGGAGCGAACGGGAUUAGAUACCCCGGUAGUCCACGCCGUAAACGAUGUGCACUAGGUCGUGGGAGUUCUGACACCUUCACGGCCGGAGCAAAAGUGUUAAGUGCACCGCCUGGGGAGUACGGUCGCAAGGCUAAAACUCAAAGGAAUUGACGGGGGCUCACACAAGCGGUGGAGCAUGUGGAUUAAUUCGAAGCAACGCGCAGAACCUUACCUGGGUUUGACAUGUUUGUAUGGCUUCCGGGAAACCGGAUAGUCUGCCCUUCGGGGUGAAACUUACACAGGUGCUGCAUGGCUGUCGUCAGCUCGUGUCGUGAGAUGUCGGGUUAAGUCCUUUAACGAGCGAAACCCUUACCGUUAGUUGCCAGCGCGUUAUGGCGGGGACUCUAGCGGGACUGCCGGUGUUAAACCGGAGGAAGGCGGGGAUGACGUCAAGUCCUCAUGGCCUUUAUGCCCAGGGCUUCACACGUGCUACAAUGGGCGUUACAGAGCGAAGCGAGACCGCGAGGUGGAGCAAAUCGCAAAAAGACGCCCCCAGUUCGGAUCGCAGGCUGCCAACUCGCCUGCAUGAAGUUGGAAUCGCUAGUAAUCGCGUAUCAGCUAUGACGCGGUGAAUGUGUUCCUGAGCCUUGUACACACCGCCCGUCAAGUGAUGGGAGCUGGGAGUACCCGAAGUCGGAUUGCUAACUUUCGAGAGGCGUCUGCCGACGGUAAGCUCGGUGACUGGCACUAAGUCGUAACAAGGUA